UACGAAGGGGGCUAGCGUUGCUCGGAAUCAUUGGGCGUAAAGCGCGCGUAGGCGGCCUCAUAAGUCCGUUGUGAAAGUCAAAGGCUCAACCUUUGAAAGCCGAUGGAUACUGUGAGGCUAGAGUCCGGAAGAGGCGAGUGGAAUUCCUGGUGUAGCGGUGGAAUGCGCAGAUAUCAGGAGGAACACCAAUAGCGAAGGCAGCUCGCUGGGACGGUACUGACGCUAAGGCGCGAAAGCGUGGGGAGCGAACAGG
rnacentral:rRNA from 1 species